GGGGAUGAAAGGAUUUCGACGGGGAACGAGAGCCGUGGUAAGCGAGCCGAGUGGCGGAAACUCGUAAAUCAGCCGCAGCUUAAAAAGAAACGACAGUAAACCUGUUUUAAAAGCUGCUUAAGCCCAAAAGGCUUGCAGCCGUCUGCCCCGGAUAACUGCGACCGGGAAAUCAGGCGUCAACAGCAGUGACCGUGAACGGAGCAGCACCGCGUAGUCCGUCACGCAAAACGCGGUUGUUGCCUGCGUGAGCCUGCCGUUCGGCGCGCGCAUGGCAGAAAAUCAAAUGACCGGCUACGCUCGAAGAAAGCCUAAGUAAUCGUUUUUCGGACGCGGGUUCGAUUCCCGCCAUCUCCACCA
rnacentral:tmRNA from 1 species